GAUGAACGCUAGCUACAGGCUUAACACAUGCAAGUCGAGGGGUAACGAGAGGAAAGCUUGCUUUCCUUGUCGACGACCGGCGCACGGGUGAGUAACGCGUAUCCAACCUGCCCCCAACUAAGGAAUAACCUUGCGAAAGUAAGACUAAUACCUUAUAAUUUCCUCAGAUGUCAUCUGACGAGAAUAAAGAUUUAUCGGUUGUGGAUGGGGAUGCGUCUGAUUAGCUUGUUGGCGGGGUAACGGCCCACCAAGGCAACGAUCAGUAGGGGUUCUGAGAGGAAGGUCCCCCACAGUGGAACUGAGACACGGUCCAAACUCCUACGGGAGGCAGCAGUGAGGAAUAUUGGUCAAUGGGCGAAAGCCUGAACCAGCCAAGUAGCGUGCAGGAUGACGGCCCUAUGGGUUGUAAACUGCUUUUAUACAGGAAUAAAGUUAGCCACGUGUGGUUAUUUGUAGGUACUGUAUGAAUAAGGACCGGCUAAUUCCGUGCCAGCAGCCGCGGUAA
rnacentral:rRNA from 1 species